CCAAUAGCGUAUAUUAAAGUUGUUGCAGUUAAAAAGCUCGUAGUUGAAUUUCGGGGUCAGCAGGUUGGUCGUGCCAAUGGUAUGCACUGGCCUUGCUGAUUCCUCCCUCUUGAUGAGCCGUAAUGCCAUUAAUUUGGUGUUGCGAGGAAUCAGGACUGUUACUUUGAAAAAAUUAGAGUGUUUAAAGCAGGCAAGCGCUUGAAUACAUUAGCAUGGAAUAAUGAAAUAGGACGUUUGAUCCUAUUUUGUUGGUUUCUAGGAUUGACGUAAUGAUUAAUAGGGAUAGUUGGGGGCAUUAGUAUUCAAUUGUCAGAGGUGAAAUUCUUGGAUUUAUUGAAGACUAACUACUGCGAAAGCAUUUGCCAAGGAUGUUUUCAUUAAUCAAGAACGAAAGUUAGGGGAUCGAAGACGAUCAGAUACCGUCGUAGUCUUAACCAUAAACUAUGCCGACUAGGGAUCGGAUGAUGUUAAUUUUUUAAUGACUCAUUCGGCGCCUUACG
rnacentral:rRNA from 1 species